UACGUAGGGUGCAAGCGUUGUCCGGAAUUAUUGGGCGUAAAGAGCUCGUAGGCGGUUUGUCGCGUCGAAUGUGAAAACCCGGGGCUCAACCCCGGGCCUGCAUUCGAUACGGGCAGACUAGAGCUCGGUAGGGGAGUCUGGAAUUCCUGGUGUAGCGGUGAAAUGCGCAGAUAUCAGGAGGAACACCGGUGGCGAAGGCAGCUCGCUGGGACGGUACUGACGCUGAGACGCGAAAGCGUGGGGAGCAAACAGG
rnacentral:rRNA from 1 species